AGCAGCCGCGGUAAUUCCAGCUCCAAUAGCGUAUAUUAAAGUUGUUGCAGUUAAAAAGCUCGUAGUUGAAUUUCGGGAUUAAUAUGUUGGUCGUGCCUUGGUACGUACUGGCAUUAUUGGUUCCUACCUUCUGAAGAACCUCGAUGUCAUUAAUUUGGUGUCUUGGGGAAUCAGGACUGUUACUUUGAAAAAAUUAGAGUGUUUAAAGCAGGCUCGCGCUUGAAUACAUUAGCAUGGAAUAAUGAAAUAGGACGUUUGAUUCUAUUUUGUUGGUUUCUAGGAUCGACGUAAUGAUUAAUAGGGAUAGUUGGGGGCAUUAGUAUUCAAUUGUCAGAGGUGAAAUUCUUGGAUUUAUUGAAGACUAACUACUGCGAAAGCAUUUGCCAAGGAUGUUUUCAUUAAUCAAGAACGAAAGUUAGGGGAUCGGAGACGAUCAGAUACCGUCGUAGUCUUAACCAUAAACUAUGCCGACUAGGGAUCGGAUGAUGUUAAUUUUUAAUGACUCAUUCGGCGCCUUAAC
rnacentral:misc_RNA from 1 species